GGAUCUUCGGAUCCUUGCACAGUCCGAUGGGCCCGCGGCGCAUUAGCUAGUUGGAGAGGUAAGGGCUCCCCAAGGCGACGAUGCGUAGCCGACCUGAGAGGGUGAUCGGCCACACUGGGACUGAGACACGGCCCAGACUCCUACGGGAGGCAGCAGUAGGGAAUCAUCCGCAAUGGGCGAAAGCCUGACGGUGCAACGCCGCGUGAGUGAUGAAGGUUUUCGGAUCGUAAAGCUCUGUUGACAGGGAAGAACCCACGCCAGUCGAACAGGCUGGCGUGCUGACGGUACCUGUCCAGAAAGCCCCGGCUAACUACGUGCCAGCAGCCGCGGUAAUACGUAGGGGGCAAGCGUUGUCCGGAAUUAUUGGGCGUAAAGGGCACGCAGGCGGUUUCGUCAGUCCGAUGUGACAGGCCACGGCUCAACCGUGGAAGGCCAUUGGAAACUGCGAAACUUGAGGACAGAAGAGGAGAGUGGAAUUCCACGUGUAGCGGUGAAAUGCGUAGAUAUGUGGAGGAACACCAGUGGCGAAGGCGACUCUCUGGUCUGUACCUGACGCUGAGGUGCGAAAGCAUGGGGAGCAAACAGGAUUAGAUACCCUGGUAGUCCAUGCCGUAAACGCUGAGUGCUAGGUGUUAGGGGUUUCGAUACCCGUAGUGCCGAAGCUAACGCAUUAAGCACUCCGCCUGGGGAGUACGACCGCAAGGUUGAAACUCAAAGGAAUUGACGGGGGCCCGCACAAGCGGUGGAGCAUGUGGUUUAAUUCGACGCAACGCGAAGAACCUUACCAGAUCUUGACAUCUUCCGCUACGCCUCGAGAGAGGCGGUUCCCCUUCGGGGGACGGAAUGACAGGUGGUGCAUGGUUGUCGUCAGCUCGUGUCGUGAGAUGUUGGGUUAAGUCCCGCAACGAGCGCAACCCCUAAUCUUAGUUGCCAGCAUUCAGUUGGGCACUCUAAGGUGACUGCCGGUGACAAACCGGAGGAAAGGUGGGGAUGACGUCAAAUCAUCAUGCCCCUUAUGAUCUGGGCUACACACGUGCUACAAUGGAUGGUACAACGGGACGCGAACCCGCGAGGGGGAGCCAAUCCAGAAA
rnacentral:rRNA from 1 species